rnacentral:piRNA from 1 species
UAUUUCUUAUUUGACAGAAUAAGGUGUCUG